GUGUUUGUAGAAAAGAGAGAUGGUUGACAUCUCCCUAACAAGGACGGGAAUAGCCUUGGGCUUUUCCUUAUUAGCAAACACAUCAGUUUAGGCAACUCACUUCGAUAGAUCUAUAACCUACCUCAAAGCUUUUA